rnacentral:rRNA from 1 species
UACGGAGGGUGCAAGCGUUAUCCGGAUUCACUGGGUUUAAAGGGUGCGUAGGCGGGUAAGUAAGUCCGUGGUGAAAUCUCUGAGCUUAACUCAGAAACUGCCGUGGAUACUAUUUGCCUUGAAUAUUGUGGAGGUGAGCGGAAUAUGUCAUGUAGCGGUGAAAUGCUUAGAUAUGACAUAGAACACCAAUUGCGAAGGCAGCUCACUACACAAUCAUUGACGCUGGGGCACGAAAGCGUGGGGAUCAAACAGG